AUGGGAGGUUUUUGUUAUUUUCUGUUCACUCUGCAUUAUUAUGCUACCAAUCUAAAUGCUGUUAUGGGCUCUAGAAAAUCAGAUACCAUAAAAUAUGUAUCCUUUGUCAGAAUUAGCUAUGGUUACUUCCAAAACUGUUAUGUACCAAUUUGUCAUCCUGUAAAAUCAUUUUCUUGGUUCAUGUUUAGCCACAAACUUCAUAUCAUGUGCAGGAUCAGGAAGCUGUGCUGA